rnacentral:lncRNA from 1 species
CUGCCCUUUUCUUCACAUUCAUGAGUGGUAUGUCAAUAUUGCGACAAACCUGGGCAUGUCAUCAAACAAUGUCGUCGUCUCAUCAAAAGCCUUUCUGUGGUUGUCGCCCGAUUUAGCCAAUCAUUCAACCUUGAUUCAACAACGCCCACCGCGUGCCAACUACGCAACCCCUACAAGUACAUCAUCCUCCACCUGGUUGGUUGACUCGCGCACUUCACAUCAUGUCACAAACUGACCUCCAAAAUCUAUCUCUUCACUCUGAAUAUGAUGGAUCUGAUGAUCUUGCUUGGUAAUGGUAAAGUAAAGGUUUGCCAAUCACACAUACAUGCACUAUAACCUUACACUCUUUAUCUCGUCCUUGCAUCUAUCUAAUGUCUUAUGUGUUUCUGCCUUGAAACAAAUUUAAUUUCUGCUCAUAAGCUUUGCUGCAAUAAUAAUGUUUCUGUUGAAUUCACUUCUUUUUCUUUCUAUGUCAAGGAUUUAACCACAAGUGCACCUCUUCUGGCAGGAAACCUAAGAAUGAUGUUUACAAAUGGCAAGGCUUCUCAUCAUCACCAGUUGCUUAUUCUACUAUUGUCGUC